CUAGCCUAAGGAGGAGCACAGACAGAGCCGACAGGCCUCAUCGUGCCUAUCAUCUUAAAAGUAGGAGCAGUCUGAGCUUAACCUUGAGUUGAUCUGGAGCUGAUAGAUGGAUGGGGCUGAUUGGAGAUAGUUGUCUCUGCUCUUCUUUUCCCAAGGCGACAGGAGUUGGUCCUUUACUUCACCCUGGAGUCAUGCAGAUGUUUCGGGCCCGGGCAGGAUAAAGCUAAAGAUAGCAGCGGGUGACAGGAGCACUCAUUGAUUAUCUGUCCCAGAGCUCGUCUGAGAGACUUUCUCUUCCUCCGGCCGAUAGCAGAGACUACAGCUAAUUGACCUUGGAGCGUCUGCACUCUUAACGGAAUAUUAACAGGUUUGCCAGACUCAUAGAAGAGGAUCCAAAAUGUCAAUUUUCAACAAGUUUUUUGGGAUGGCUGGAUCACUAUAAAAGGAGCUGUAGAGAAGAUAAACAGCUAAUACAAAAGAACUGCUUCUUUCCGAACUCUUUCCGAGAAGGUAUGCACAUCUGAGAUCAUUUGUUUCCAUCUCUGGAAUAGUUUCCCUCACACCUUGUGUAAUUGUCCUAUUCCCACUUAAAAAGUUACCCUGUUAAAUUAUAAAUCAUCUCAAACAGUCU